rnacentral:rRNA from 1 species
CAGCCGCCGCGGUAAUACAGAGGGUGCGAGCGUUAAUCGGAUUUACUGGGCGUAAAGCGUGCGUAGGCGGCUUCUUAAGUCGGAUGUGAAAUCCCUGAGCUUAACUUAGGAAUUGCAUUCGAUACUGGGAAGCUAGAGUAUGGGAGAGGAUGGUAGAAUUCCAGGUGUAGCGGUGAAAUGCGUAGAGAUCUGGAGGAAUACCGUUGGCGAAGGCAGCCAUCUGGCCUAAUACUGACGCUGAGGUACGAAAGCAUGGGGAGCAAACAGGAUUAGAUACCCCCGUAGUCCCUGUCUCUUAUAC